CCUUUUUCUAUAUCUCUUCUAAUCUUUGUUUGUUGUGAUCGACUUUCUGAUUCAAUCCUCACAUUUCAUGAAAUGAGCUCGUCUUGAUUUUCCAAUGCACCCUUUGAUUUAAAGGGAAGAAUGUGAUAUCUUUCAAGUCAAAUAAUUUUACACUAAAACUAAAACUUAACAAGGAAGAGACCAAAAAUCUUGAUGAAAUUAAUUUCAUCUUUACAUAGUGAUGAGUAUAUGGAUCCAUCAUCCAUGAGGUCUUUCCGCGUUUGGUGGCUUACACAAUUACAAUAUUGCUACUAUAAUUAUUUCUUAACCUGGGACAUUUGAUCAUAUUAAUCAGAAAAACCAAAAAAAAUAAAAUAAAAAUAAAAUAGAGCUCAAGAUCGGUUCAAAAAGAAACUCAGCUGGGAAGACGUUUCCCUUCAAUUAAUAAGUUGAGAAGGAUUAAUUAUUGAUCCUUCAAAACAAACACAAACAGAAGAAUUCAGCUCAAGUCUAUUUUAUUUAAAAAAUAAAAAUUCAUUGAAAGAAAUCGGCCUCGCUGCUUGUAGAGAAGUUUCAGUAAUCGCGCAAUCACAGUGUCACUGUCAUAGACUCCUAAUCUUCUCUUAUCUUAUGAUAUUUUCAACUGAUGCAACUAAUUGUGAUUCCAUUUUGACAAUAGCAAAUAAGCAAACAUUGCAAAUUUGUAUUCGAAAAGAAAAAGAACACAUGUAUUGGAUUCAGUAAACCAGAGUUGAGAUAACAUACCUGGGCUGCUGGCGAAAGAAAUCCGGCGGUGUUUACUGUGAAUAGUGAAUUUCGUUUUAGUAGAUUUAGGGAUUUUGAAUGUUAGGAAGUUGUGAUUAAUUAUGAGUAGAGGCUCAUUUGAAGAAUAAUG
rnacentral:lncRNA from 1 species